GGAAUAUUGGACAAUGGGCGAAAGCCUGAUCCAGCCAUGCCGCGUGUGUGAAGAAGGUCUUCGGAUUGUAAAGCACUUUAAGUUGGGAGGAAGGGCGUUUGGCUAAUAUCCAGGCGUUUUGACGUUACCGACAGAAUAAGCACCGGCUAACUUCGUGCCAGCAGCCUCGGUAAUACGAAGGGUGCACGCGUUAAUCGGAAUUACUGGGCGUAAAGCGCGCGUAGGUGGUUCGUUAAGUUGGAUGUGAAAGCCCCGGGCUCAACCUGGGAACUGCAUCCAAAACUGGCGAGCUAGAGUACGGUAGAGGGUGGUGGAAUUUCCUGUGUAGCGGUGAAAUGCGUAGAUAUAGGAAGGAACACCAGUGGCGAAGGCGACCACCUGGACUGAUACUGACACUGAGGUGCGAAAGCGUGGGGAGCAAAC
rnacentral:rRNA from 1 species